CAGUAAACAAAAUAGCUAAAGUAAUAAAACAAAACCUAAUGUUUCUAAUUUGUUCUUUUUCAAGAGAAGUGAGCAGCCUUCGAAAAUUCCCUAAGAACCCUAGAAACUCAAAAUAUUGGAUCAGAAAAGUAAAAGCAAGUGCAGAUCAAAACAAUUUAGAGAGAGAGGGAAGGAUCAAGACAGUGAUUAUUGAGGUUCACCACCAAGAUUGGGGCUACAUCCUCGUCGAGCUCGCCUCAGAGAAGAGCACCAUUCCACUAUUUCAAGAUCAAAGUUACAAAGCCAAGUAUGAUUCCAAGUCACAAUCUUGAUUGUCUCCAAAAAACCCCAGCAAAACUCUCUCAAAUCACAAGCAGAAAAAUGUGGACUUCUCUCAAAAAAUUACUCCGUUAGCUCAUGUGGGGAUUUAACUUAUAAUUUCCACCUAAAUCCCCAUAUGAGCUCGCUUUGUAGUGAAUGUUCUCUGAGGGUCUUAGCUUAAUAGGUUCCUAGGUUAUCCUCCAUAGUCAACUCCUAGCAAAUUCAUGCAAAGCUUGAAUUUGUGUAGAGUAACUACCUUAGUAUCCAUAUUUGUUGGGUUUUCUUCUGUAGGAACCUUUAGAAUAGAGACAUGUCCUUCAGUUACCUUAUCUCUUAUAAAAUGGUAUUUAAUCUCCAAAUGUUUGGUCCUGUCAUAAAAGACAGGAUUUUUACACAAGUGGAUACAACUUUGGCUGUCCAAGAACACUGUAGGAGUCUUCUUGUACCCAAUUGCUUCUUCUAGCAAUCCUCUUAGCCAAAGUGCUCCCUUAAUAGCCUCUGUCACUGCUAUGUAUUCAGAUUCAGUUGUAGAUAGAGCAACCACAAGUUGUAUUUGAACCUUCCAACUUACACAGUUACCUCCAAUUAGAAAAAAAAUAAGAUGAAGUUGAUCUCCUGCUGUCUCUGUCCCCUGCAUAGUUUGCAUCACAGUAUCCUUCCAAAUUUGUAAUUUCAUUUUGUCUUCUGUAGAUCAUACCAACCUUAGUCGUGCCUACUAGGUAUCUAAGAGUCCACUUCAUAGCCUGCCAAUGUUCUUUUCCUGGAUUAGCCAUAUACUUACUGAGUACAAUCAUAACAUGUGCUAAGUCAGGUCGAGUACAGACCAUUAGGUACAUGUGACAGUCAGAAUCCCGUGAUCCGUAAGGGGAAAGACCGGGUAAGCUGUGCAAUCCCACACCGCCUGGGGAAGGUCAAGUGUAAUGAUUCUAAGACUGUGUAGGUAUGGGACUACACAGUUGAAGAUGGCUUAAAUGGAUUGAUGGGUACUACCUAUAUCAGGAAGGUGCAUCUUCUUUUCGGUAGCCCAUCACUUGAGAACUCCAUGGUUAAGCGUGCUUGGCCUGGAGUAAUCUAGGGAUGGGUGACCUCCUGGGAAGUUUUCCCUGGAAGUGUGCGAGUGAGGACAAAGCAUGCUGGAAAGACUUGUCUUGGUUUGUAGGGCCAGUCUUCAUUCCAGAAAGCAGCCAUAGUGAUGUGGGACGUCACAGUACAUAAUUGACCCAACUGCAUCAGAAUAUGGUAUAUUGUUCAUGUACUCAAUGUCUUCCUUUGAAAUUGGACUUUGGUUCUUUGACAGCUGAAACUGAUGGGUUAUAGGUUGCUUAGUAAUCUUAGCAUCUUUCAUAGCAAACUUAUCUAGUAUCUUACCAAUGUAGUCUUCUUGGCUUAAGAAUAACUUCCCUUUGUUUCUGUCUCUCCUUAUAUGCAUCCCCAAAAUUUUGGCAACUUUACCCAAAUCUUUCAUUUCAAAUUCAGACUUUAGUAACUCUUUAAGGUUCUCCACUUUAGCCUUUUCCUUGCUAAUAAUUAGCAUGUCAUCUACAUACAACAGUAGAUAGGUAGCUUCCAUAACUUGAGUGCCUUUGAAGUACAAACACGUAUCAUAAUAACUUCUAGAAAAUCCCUGUUUGAUCAUAAAUGAGCUAAACCUUUUAUUCCAUUGCCUAGGCGAUUGCUUGAGUCCAUAUAGAGAUUUUUCCAGCUUGCACACAAGUUAUUCCUGCCCUUUUCUUACAAAACCUCUAGGGUGCUCCACAUAUAUAUCUUCCUCCAGCUCCCCAUGAAGAAAAGCAGUGGUCACAUCCAUUUGUUCUACUUCUAGAUCAAAAUGAGUAGCUAGGGCAAGCAUGAUCCUUAUGGUUUUGUACUUAACUACUGGGGAAAAUAUUUCAGUGAAGUCUAUUUCCUCCUUUUGUGUAAACCCCUUAGCAACUAGUCUUGCUUUAAAUCUACAUGGUUCUCCUUUAUUCUGUCCUUCUUUUAGCUUAUACAGCCACUUACAAGCUAUUAUACUUUUGCCUUUGGGUUUUCGGGUUAGUUUCCAAGUCUGGUUCUUAGCUAGGGAUCUCAUUUCUUCUUCCAUGGUUGUUUUCCACAUCAUUGCAUUUCUGUCCUUAAUAGCUUCUUCAUAGCUGUUAGGUUCCGUAACAUUCAUUUCCGUAGCACUCAGAAAUGCAUAUGCCAUAACCUUAUUCCAUGCGUUGAAAAUGAAUCUCUGUGUAGGUUUAGGUACUCUUUUUGUUCUGCCUCUAGUCAGUUGGUAUUCAGACAGGUCUUCUCUAUUUUCUUCAGUACUUUGAUCAAUUUGAGUUUCAGUCAAUCCUUCUUGGGUUUGUUCCACCUGACUUGGAUUUAUCUGUCUUGGUUCAACCUGAUUUGCAUCAAUUUCUAGGUCUGUUUGUUCCACCCGAUUUGUGUCAUGGUCUUGUGUUGCUUGUACCAUCUGAGUUUUAUCAAUUUGAAUUACUGUAGAAGUACCUGCAUUGUUAGUAUCUGGUGUACCUGCACUAGAGAUUAUAUUAGAUAAACAAGGAAAAAUAUCUUCUUGAAAAAUGACAUCCCUACUAAUUAUAGUUUUAAAUCCUCCAUUUUCCCUUAACCAGAUCCUAUAACCUUUAACACCUUUCAGGGUAUCCUAGAAACACCCAUUUUAUUGCUCUUGGUUCAAGUUUCCCAAUAUUUUGAUGUGCAUAGGCUGCACAUCCAAACAUUCUCAGAUUUGAUAAAUCUGGAGGUUUUCCUGACCACUUUUCCUCAGGUGUCUUUAACUCUAUGGCACUUGAGGGACAUCUAUUUAUCAAGUAAGUUGCUAUCAUAACAGCCUCUCCCCAAAAACCCUGAGAUAAACCAGCGUUAAAUAACAUGGAUCUAGACUUAUCUAAUUUGGUUCUAUUCAUACGUUCAGCCACCCCGUUCUGUUGAGGUGUAAGCCUAACUGUUCUGUGCCUUUGUAUACCAUGAUCUCUACAAUAUUUAUCAAAAUACUCAUUACAGAAUUCCAACGCAUUAUCAGUUCUUAGGACUUUGAUGUUUCUGUUUGUUUGGUUUUCUAUCAAUGUUUUCUAAUCCUUAAAUUUUUGAAAUGCAUCACUUUUAUUUUUAAGAAGAAAAAUCCAAACUUUCCUAGAAAAAUCAUCAACAAUAGACAUAAAAUAAGAGCAGCCACCAUGUGUAUUAGUCUUUUCAGCUCCCCAUAAAUCUGAAUGAAUAUAAUCUAAUAUGCCUUUUGAUUUAUGAGUUCCAGUUUUGAAUUUCAGUCUAUGAUGUUUUCCUAGAAUGCAAUAUUAACAAAAGUCUACCUUUGUUACCUUAUCUUUGCCAAGAAGUUUCUGCUCAUGUACAAUUUGCAGUCCUUUCUCACUGAUGUGUCCAAGCCGCCUAUGCCAUAGAAUAGCUUUGGCAUCUUUGGGUGACUUUGCCAUUGUGUUAUGACAUUUAGCAAUAGGUUCCCCACAUAGGUAGUACAGUCCCUCUACCUUUUGGCCUUUCAUGAUAACCAUUGAUCCUUUGCAUAGCUUUAUCUGUCCAUCCUUGAUCUUGCUUUCUAUUUUCAUGUCAUCAAGAAUACUUAGUGAUAUCAAAUUUCUAGACAAGUUAGGCACAUACCUCACUCCUGUGAGUGAUCGUAUUACUCCAUCAAACAUUUUGAAGCUUGCAGUACCCAAGCUUCAAUUUCACAAGUUUGGUUGUUGCCAAGUAUGACUUUUUGUCCAUUUGGUUCCCUGAAAUCAGUGAGUAAACUUUUAUUAUUAGUCAUGUGAAAAGUAAAACCAAAAUCUAGUAUCCAGUCAUCUCUUAAAGAUGAUGCAGCCAUGUACACUUCUCCACUAUCAUAACCAUCACUAUAGUUGGCUAAAUGUUGAUCUGUUUUCUGAAAGUUGGAGUUUUGCUCUUCUGCCUUGUUUCUAUUCUUUCUGUUCAGUAGGUAACAAUCCCUUUUAAAAUGCCCAGGCUUUCCAUAGUGAUAGCAUCCCUUUUGAUCACUUGGACCCUUUGAGCUAGACCUUCCUCUCUCAGAAUUAUGAUUCUGCCCUUCCUAUGCCAUGGUUUAUUCUGAUUUGUUCUCCCCCGACUUAGAUUCAAUUCCCCAUGAGAAAUUCCCAGUUUCUCAUUCUUCAUCUCCAAGUCUUUAGACUUGAGGGUAGAAAUAACCUCUUCUAGUGUUAUCUCUGUUCUGCCAUAUUUAAUGGAUGUUUUCACCUCUCAGUAUGACUCUGGCAGUGAGUUGAGAAUUAUAAUGGCUUGAUUUUCAUCACUUAAUGCUUCAUCUUUCCCUGAGUUUGCUAACUCAAUAUGCAUCCUUAAACAAUCAUCCAAAUUCUGUUCAAGAUUCUUUGAAUGACUCAUCUUGAACCCAAAAAUUCUCUCCUUUAAUUUUUUUUUUAUUGGUGAGUGAUUUCUGCUGUAAUUGUUCUUCCAAUUUCUUCCAUAUCUUGGCUGGUGUCUCCUCCUUAUCCACUAGUCUAAUGAUAGAAUCAGACAAAUUGAAAAUAAUAAUUCCAGUGGUUGUUUCCAGAUAUUCUUCCUGUUGAAUCUUUGAUGUAUUUUCAGGCCACUCAAUUGGUUCUUCUAGUACCCAAAGCAGCUUUUGUUGUGCUAACAGAGAUCUGAUUUUUCUUCUCCAAAUCCUGUAGUCACCAGUACCAUCAAACAUGUCAAUGUCCACUUUAAUAUUACUCAUUUUACAGUAAUCAAAUAAAAAUUGAGUUUGAGUUGAGGAAGUUUAUGUUGGAUUGUCCAAUGGGACAUCCACAAACCCUUCAAGACCAAGAUCUACUCCUUGAGGGUCAAUUCCCUCCAGUCUUGCUUUGUUUCUUUGUCAGCAGUGGUUGAUUCUUGGAGCCUCCGAAACCUGGCUCUGAUACCACUGUAAGGAUUUUACCCUUUUAUCCCUACACAAAUCAACACACAGUUAACAAAAACAACAAGGUCACUUUUCACCUUUUCCUUCAAUACUUUGACAAAUCAGAUUUUGACAACGUUAGUUCAAGGAUAGCUAUCAGUAAAAAAAAUAGCUAAAGUAAUAAAACAAAGCCUAAUGUUUCUAAUGUGUUCUUUUUCCAGAGAAGUGAGCAACCUUCGAAAAUUCCCUAAGAACCCUAGAAACUUAAAAUAUUGGAUCAGAAAAGUAAAAGCAAGUGCAGAUCAAAACAAUUUAGAGAGAGAGGGAAGGAUCAAGACAGUGAUUAUCGAGGUUCACCACCAAGAUUGGGGCUACAUCCUCGUCGAGCUCACCUCAGAGAAGAGCUCAGCCAUUCCACUAUUUCAAGAUCAAAGUUACAAAGCCAGGUAUGAUUCCAAGUCACAAUCUUGACUAAUAAUCUCUAAAUGUUUUUCUCUCUGUUUUUCUUUCUCACUUUCUCUCAGAUUAUUCCCAGAAAAUUUUCCCCCUGAUUUUCUUUUCUUUCUCUCUGAGGUACACUCUCCAAAAAACCCCAGCAAAACUCUCUCAAAUCACAAGCAGGAAAAUGUGGACUUCUCUAAAAAAAUUGCUCCGUUAGCUCAUGUGGGGAUUUAACUUACAAGAUGUUUGCAUAGCUUGGCAAGUCUUUCUCAGCACCGUUUUGCAUUGGCAAUUUGACAUCUAUCUCGGCGCAGCGAGGAUACUGGCAAAAGCACUGUUUGCUGGCGUGGAGAUUAGACACCGGCUAAAGUACUCAUUACUGGUGCAUUUAUCAGCGUUGGCAAUGAAUUAUAUAUAUAUAAUUUGUUAAUUUAUUUAAUCUAUGUCAGCGCUAAAUAAAGCACCGACAAAUGAUUUUUUAUUUUAUUUUGAUAAUUUAAUUAUUUAUAAUUGAUGUCAUUUUAAUUUAUUUAUGAAUAAAAUUGAAUUAUGUUCAA